UACGAAGGGCGCUAGCGUUGUUCGGAAUCACUGGGCGUAAAGCGUGCGUAGGCGGCUUUGCAAGUCAGGGGUGAAAUCCCACAGCUCAACUGUGGAAUUGCCUUUGAAACUGCAUGGCUGGAGUAUUGGAGGGGUCAGGGGAAUUCCUAAUGUAGUGGUGAAAUACGUAGAUAUUAGGAGGAACACCGGUGGCGAAGGCGCCUGACUGGACAAUAACUGACGCUGAGGCACGAAAGCGUGGGGAUCAAACAGG
rnacentral:rRNA from 1 species